CAGCAGUAUUUGUUUCACUAAUUUUAAACGCAGAGUAGAUACCGCUAUGACUAGAACAAAAUAUUUGGUUCAACAAGAUUUUGAUCAAUGCUCACAAAUUGGAGAUUCUUGCAAGGAAACAGACGACUGUUGUAGCCGUUUGACUUGCAAUUCAACAAGCAUUUGCACCAAUGAUGAUGGAGAAUUUUCAAAAGAUCUUGAAACUUCCCAAGACUUCACAUGGAUACUAGGGCCAAUUUUUGGGGCAAUAUUUUUUGUGGCCGUUGUAUUUUUUUGCAUCACAUACAGACAACGCAGAAAAGCCAAUGCAACAGCUCAACCUAGACCGAGGACUGUGAUUGAUGCUGAGAUUUCAUCUAGUAUGACGACAUCGGAUCCCACUGCGCCCGCAUUUACGACUGUCUUUGAAGAAAUUAUUAUUGACGCAAAAGGCGCAGGAGAACUCACAGGUGACCCGCCCUCAUAUGACUGUGUUGUAAAUGGUAUUGAUAAGGCAAGAGAUUAACAAAUAACCCAGCUUGACAAUAAACUUUAUUUCUUUAUUUUGCCAACUAUAAAACAACCAACGACUCACUAGAAUCGAAAAAACACCUUUUACAUUAUUUCAGUUCAUGUGAAUAAAAAGAAAUUGAUAAGA